rnacentral:rRNA from 1 species
GAGGAAUAUUGGUCAAUGGACGUAAGUCUGAACCAGCCAAGUGGCGUGCAGGAUUGACGGCCCUAUGGGUUGUAAACUGCUUUUGUUGGGGAGUAAAGUGAGGCACGCGUGCCUUUUUGCAUUUACCCUUCGAAUAAGGACCGGCUAAUUCCGUGCCAGCAGCCGCGGUAAUACGGAAGGUCCAGGCGUUAUCCGGAUUUAUUGGGUUUAAAGGGAGUGUAGGCGGUCUGUUAAGCGUGUUGUGAAAUUUAGGUGCUCAACAUCUAACUUGCAGCGCGAACUGGCGGACUUGAGUGCACGCAACGUAUGCGGAAUUCAUGGUGUAGCGGUGAAAUGCUUAGAUAUCAUGACGAACUCCGAUUGCGAAGGCAGCGUACGGGAGUGUUACUGACGCUUAAGCUCGAAGGUGCGGGUAUCGAACAGGAUUAGAUACCCUGGUAGUCCGCACGGUAAACGAUGGAUGCCCGCUGUUAGCGCCUGGCGUUAGCGGCUAAGCGAAAGCAUUAAGCAUCCCACCUGGGGAGUACGCCGGCAACGGUG